UACGUAGGGUGCAAGCGUUGUCCGGAAUUAUUGGGCGUAAAGCGCGUGUAGGCGGCUUGGCAAGUCGGGUGUGAAAGCCCUCAGCUCAACUGAGGAAGUGCGCCCGAAACUGCUUUGCUUGAGUGCUGGAGAGGGUCGCGGAAUUCCCCAAGUAGAGGUGAAAUUCGUAGAUAUGGGGAGGAACACCGGUGGCGAAGGCGGCGACCUGGACAGUAACUGACGCUGAGACGCGAAAGCGUAGGUAGCAAACAGG
rnacentral:rRNA from 1 species